CCCGCCUAUUUCUGCCAGUGCUGGCAGACCCGCACGGCACUGGAAAUUAGGGGAUACUGCUGUUCCUGUAUAAAAUGAACUCUCCGUGAGACAAUCUUUCCAGCAGAUUAUUUUAAGUGAUGGAAGAUGCAUUUUGCCAACUGAGAUGCAUACAGUGCCUAGAGAUUACCCACGUUGUAACUUAUUUUAAGAUGGGGAAGCAUUAAUAAAAGUCUAUUCCAAUGGCAA